rnacentral:rRNA from 1 species
GACGAACGCUGGCGGCGUGCCUAACACAUGCAAGUCGAACGAAGCAUUUAAGUGAAUCCCUUCGGGGUGAAGCUUUUAUGACUUAGUGGCGGACGGGUGAGUAACGCGUGAGUAACCUGCCUUUCAGAGGGGGAUAACAGUUGGAAACGACUGCUAAUACCGCAUAACGUAUUUGAAUCGCAUGAUUCGGAUACCAAAGCUGAGGCGCUGAAAGAUGGACUCGCGUCUGAUUAGAUAGUUGGUGGGUAACGGCCUACCAAGUCGACGAUCAGUAGCCGGACUGAGAGGUUGAUCGGCCACAUUGGGUCUGAGACACGGCCCAGACUCCUACGGGAGGCAGCAGUGGGGAAUAUUGCACAAUGGGCGAAAGCCUGAUGCAGCAACGCCGCGUGAAGGAAGAA